rnacentral:SRP_RNA from 1 species
GCUGGGAGUCGUUGUGUGCUCCUGUAAUCCAACUACUUAGAGGCUGGGUGCAGCGGAUGUUUAUUCUUAGGCAGACCUGUUCCCUA